AGAGUUUGAUCAUGGCUCAGGACGAACGCUGGCGGCGUGCCUAAUGCAUGCAAGUCGAGCGGGCUACGAUCUUCGGAUUGUAGCUUAGCGGCGAACGGGUGAGUAACACGUAGGUAAUCUACCCUUCAGAGGAGGACAACCUCAGGAAACUGAGGCUAAACCUUCAUACGUUCACUGGUAGGGAUACUGGUGAAGAAAGAGUUACCUUAGUGGUAGCUGCUGAAGGAUGAGCCUGCGGCCCAUCAGGUAGUUGGUGAGGUAACGGCUCACCAAGCCGAAGACGGGUAACCGGUCUGAGAGGAUGUCCGGUCACACUGGGACUGAGACACGGCCCAGACUCCUACGGGAGGCAGCAGCAGGGAAUCUUGGGCAAUGGGCGAAAGCCUGACCCAGCGACGCCGCGUGGAGGAAGAAGUCCUUCGGGGCGUAAACUCCUGGACUGGGGGACGAGUAAGGACGGUACCCCAGUAGAAAGGGACGGCUAACUACGUGCCAGCAGCCGCGGUAAAACGUAGGUCCCGAGCGUUGUUCGGAUUCACUGGGUGUAAAGGGCGCGUAGGUGGUUGUCUGUGUCUCAUGUGAAAACUCAGGGCUCAACUCUGAGAUUGCGUGGGAAACUAGGCAGCUAGAGGACGGUAGAGGGGAGUGGAAUUCCCGGUGUAGCGGUAAAAUGCGUAGAUAUCGGGAGGAACACCGGUGGCGAAGGCGGCUCUCUGGGCCGAUCCUGACGCUGAGGCGCGAAAGCUAGGGGAGCGAACCGGAUUAGAUACCCGGGUAGUCCUAGCCGUAAACGAUGGGUGCUAGGUGUUGGGGGGGUAAAGACCCUUCAGUGCCGAAGCCAACGCGAUAAGCAUCCCACCUGGGGAGUACGGCCGCAAGGUUGAAACUCAAAUGAAUUGACGG
rnacentral:rRNA from 1 species